CGGCUGCUCACUCUGGGCGGGGCAGGAGGCUCCGUGGGCCACCUGGGUCAGCACGGGGGAGGCCCUGGUGGGUGGUCAGUGACCAGGGGACGCUGCUUAGGUUUGCUGAUUUCUGCCUCAGCCUGAGUCCCUAAGGUUUGCAGCGAGUGGCCUUGGACACCUCGCGACAGCGCCCAGGCUACAGGGCUGUGCGUACUCCAGGACCAGUGGCAGUCGUGGAACACAGCUAUGGGCUGAGACUCUUCCCAAAGACAGACACAGCAGGGCUUACGGACAGGGAGAAGGAGACAGGGGAGAGAGGUGGCUGCAGAGUCCAGUUCGGGGACUGUGGGUCCACGCAGAGAAGCCGAUGGGGGUCAUCAGCUGAGGGAGCGAUUCUGGGAGCUAAGACACAACCUUGAGCGAGGACCGCCAGAGAAAGGACGCGGCCAGGCCGCGCCCAAGGGGAGGCAGCGCCCCCUAGCAGGAAGCGAGUGCUCACCGUGUCAGACGUGGUACUGGGCUGCUGCGGCCUGCGUGUUUCCUCUCCACCCAUUCGACUCCCCUCUCCUGCUCCCUGUGGGCCUCACCUGAUGCGAUGCUCUGCAAAGUCUCUGGCUACAGAGUGUCCUCCGGGGGACUGAGCUGGUGAGGCGGGUCCCACUCUUCCCUGAUGCGGGGACGAUAGCAGAGCCCCGCAGCGAUGUUCACCUCAUACCAGCCUUGGUCUCCUGGAGUGUGAGAGACUCACUUCCAUCCCGGCAGCGUUCAUCGAGGUCACCCAGAGGAGGCCAUUUGGCUGGCAAAGAUCAAAUACAAAAACAGCCUCCUAGAGCGGUGGGAUGACACACAUCUGGCUCAGAGCUGCAGUUUCAUGAACUCCUCACCGCUGCACCGCAGAGACCCUGCAAAAUGAAGAAAAUAUCAGUUCGCCAGUCUCACACUGUUACUAUUUGAAAUGUUUUUGUAAACAUGGUCGUCAUAGUAAAUGAAAGUGAUUUAACUGGAGGCCCGAGUACUUUCCUGCUCUUCUAGACUCCAAACACCAACUUUAGAAUUUGGCAGUUUGAAUUUCACGGUAUCAUUUGGAGAAGUGCAUGGAUGACCUCAAUUAAAACCAGAUGCAGGGCUUGAUGAGGUCCUUUGAUGCUACCUGUGGCUGUUGAGGAGAAGAGGAGCACAGGACAAAGAGGGACAGGUGGCUGGAGAUGUCUGUUCCUUCUCACUGUCUCACCUUUCCCGGAGGACUCGGAACCCAGAAAAAGAUGUGAAUUUCCCAAGGAACAUCGGGAAGGGAUUCAUGCGUGGAAAUGUGGUUUGCCAGUGGAUGCGCAUGGUACCAGCCCAAUCGGUCCCCUUGGUGACAGCCACAGGGCAGCAGAUGUGGCAUUGAUCCCUUGGGGCCAACUUGGCCCCGGGAUAGAACUGCUUAAAGCUGGGUUUCCCAGCAACCACGACGGCCCCGCCUGGCUGAAGUGGUUCUGACUUCCUUUCAGGAUACACACACAGGACCGAGCAGGUUACAGACCGCCCAUCUCCUUCCUCCGGUCCCUAUGGCUUAGGGGCCCCUCGUCUCUCCCCACUAAUACUCUUUUUGUCUCCUCCAUCUCAAAAACACACUGAAGUCCCCGCCGACAGGUGUCUGGGAGGGGCUUUGGUUUGGGUCCAGGAAAAACAAUCCAGAACUUCCCAGAAGAGAGAGGGCACCGUUACCUUUUCACCCCACUUGCUGGAGGUCUGCUCUAAUGAGGAGAGGGUGAGAACAUUGUCAAUUCCCGUGCACAGGGCAAGCGGUGUGUGUGUGUGUGUGUGUGUGUGUGUGUGUGUGUGUGUGUGUGUGCAGGAUUAGUUCAGCAGGGUGAGGCAGGUAACAUCCACUACAUCACAGGACACUCAGACCCUCCCCGCCUCCCAACCUAGGGAUAUCCUGGUCUUGGGAGGGGGGGGGUAAGAAAUCACCCUGAAAAGUCCCUUCAACUUCCUCAUGAAGCCUGAAUCUAAGAAGCCCUAAAUAGUUGCAGCCUAGAGCUGGGGAUUUAGCUCAGUGGUUCCGCC